rnacentral:lncRNA from 1 species
CAUCAUAUCUUCACUUUAGAAAGAUCAUUCUGGCUUCAAAGUGAAGAAUGGACCAGAGAGAGACACCAUGGAAGGCAGGGAGACUGGUUAGGCUGUUGCAGUAUUACAGGUGAGCAAUGGUAGAACUCUGAAACAUGGUAGCAGCAGUGGCAAUGCAGAGAUGCAGAGAAGGUGAACAAGAUAUUUACAGGUAGAAAUAACAGGACGCGUUGAAAGAUUAACCAGAGAAGGUAAUGGAGGCAGGUGGUAAAUAUAAUACCUGAGAUUUUGGCUCGAAUAUCUGGAUGAAAACCUGGCACAUUCAUUGAUAAAGAGAAUCUAGGUAGAGGAGUAGGUGUUUCCCUGGUUUUGCUAUUUGUAUAUUUGGGAGCAGGGUGAGUAAUAAGUUCAGUUCUGCUCAUGAUGAGUUUGAAUUGACAAUGGAGAUGUCAGGCUGAAUACAAGAAGGUCAAUGACAAAAUCAGUCUGGAGUUAGAGAUUUGGGAUUCAUCAGUGUACUGAUAGGAGCUGUAAAUGGGAGGGGGGUGAGAGGCUCAGAAAUAAGAAGAAACAAGGAUGUUAGAAACCCAACCAUUUACAUUCUGCAAGAGGAAGAGCACUCCAGAAAAGAGGAAGAAAGGGAAUGCCCAGAGUUACAGAUGGAAAACCAGCAAGGAAUUCUCAAGAAGGGGGAAGUUAUCAUUUGUAUCAAAUACGGCCGAGGGUUCAUCCAAUGUAUUUUCAUUACAAUUCUGUUAUCCAAACUUCAAGUAUGUCACUAUAUGCAUUCAUUCAUUCACUCAUUAAAAUAUAUUUAGUGAGCCCUCACCCUAUUCCAGAUACUGUUCUGGGGCCUACAGUUAUAUAGCUAGUAAAAACCACAUAUAAGGUAUAUGAAAAUGUUAAACCAAAGAAAGAAAGAGAGUCCUGUCUUACUUUCUGUAAUUUGAAAAUCAGCAUUUGAGGGUUUCAGCUAACUUUUAUCAUCUAAUAACAUCUAACUUAUAUUUUGUUUUCUUCCCUAAAGGAAUAUUAGGAGAGACCCUGUCUAGUGGUAUCGUAAAUAUAUUGAAAUCCAAAUAUAGUAUGUUUCAUUCAUUUUCCUGAUCUCCUGGUAUAGCAAUAUGUGCGCUUGAUUUUUCUACUUCUUUGGAGAUGGAAUUGUUAGAAAAUCAACUUGUGAAACUUGUCAGACACUGGGAUUUUAGCCAAUUAAUUCCGCCCACAGGUUAUUAAAUAGCUAUUGAGUACAUGCCUUGUACCAGGCAUUGUUUUACCUAAAUACUAUGGUGGUCAAAACAAACAAGGUUCCCCACUUCUCAUAGAAGGUGGGGUAAGGUAGUACUUAAAAGCAUGGGCUUUGUUUAAAACCCUUUUCUGCCACUUACUAGUAAUUAUUAAAUCUUUUCCUGCCCCAACUUCAUCAUGAACUAAGGUUCAAUUUCAUCAUCUGCAAACUGGGAAUAAUUAUAGUAAACUGAUCACAUCAUUGUUAAGAGGUAAGUUUUAAAAAGGGUAAACUUGGAAUUCCCAUUAAAGCUGAGUGGUGACAAAUCUGAUUAGUAUCCAUGAGGUGCGGGUUCAGUCCCUGGUCUCGCUCAGUGGGUUAAUGAUCCGGCAUUGUCAUGAGCUGUACUGUAGGUCUCAGACUCGGCUCAGAUCCCUAAUUGCUAUGGCUGUGGCGCAGGCCAGUGGCUAUAGCUCCGAUUGGACCCCUAGCCUGGGAACUUAAAUAUGCCAUGGGUGCGGCCCUAAAAAGACAAAAUAAAUAGAUAAAAUUUUAAAAAUAAUUGAUAAAAAAAUUAAAAGGGUAAAGUUAUUCUCAAUAUGUCAAAACAUUUAAAUUAUGAAUGAGGGAACUAGUAGGAUGUUAUAAAUAAGUCAAAAAUAAACAUACACAAUGCAAUAUAUAUGUAAUGGAAAUGCUGAAAUAAAUUUAUUAAUAGAUGCAAAACAGGUAUUAUUAGCAGAGUGAUAAUCAACUACAUUUUACUGGACAAUAGAGGUGACAUCUGAGCCAAGUAGGAAUUAAAUCACGAUAGGAGAGAAUAGGAAGGGGAGGAGAUCUGCAUGUAAGUCUGGAGAUGAGAGUAGAAUUUAGAACAUUUUUGGAUUGGAAAUUAGCCUUGUCUGAUGGACUGUAGACUGCAGUGAAAGGAGAAAUGGCCAGAAAGAAGUUGAAGGGAAGGUCUUAAAGACCCCUGAACAACAUGCUAGAAAUUUGGAUUUUAAGAACAAGGAAGAACAGUUGAACAAUUUGGUACAGAAAUUGGUAAGAAUUGAUUUGCAUUGUAACCAGGUCUUAGGGCUUCAAUGAAAGAGCUCUGGAAAGAAACAACACUGAAAGAAGGGAAAUGAUUUGGGCAUUUUUACAGCAAUUCAGGCAAGAGAUGGUGAAGGCCUAACCAGAGACUGAAAGGUGUGGUAGAGAGAUAGAAUCAAGAUAAUUUAUAGAGGACAUCUGACUUAAUGAGUGAUGGCUUAUAAAGGGUAAGAGGGAGAAAUUCAAGCUCCAACUCAAGUUAUAACUUGGGCAUCUGAAGAGUUGGUGCGGUCACUGAGAAAACGAACACAGAAUGGGAAAUGAGUGUUGGAGAGGAAGAUAGUAAACUUAGUUUGGGGCGUGCAUAUGGAGUUUGAGCAGCCAGUGGAGCAUUAAAUGAAGGUAAUAAAAGUAGUUGCAUAUGAAUCAUAGGGAGUAGAGGCAGAGGUGGAGUCACUGAAUACAGGAAGGAAGUGAAGCUUGAUUUAGGAGCACUCACUCAGAGUAAGGAGAGAAGACCUAGGAAUACUGAAAUGGAACGGGGUGGGGUAGGGCAGAGAAAGUGCAGCUACCAGGGAGACAAGAGGGAACAAUUAAAUGGGUAGAUGGAGGAGAGCAGAAAUGGCAGCAAGAGUGUUUCAGGAACAAGACAGGAAGUGGCCAAAAGUGGUAGCAGAGUGCUCACCACACAGUAGGCACUGUUCUAAGUGAUAUAUGUAGCUCAUCACGUUCUCUCAGCGUUGCCAUACAAUAAAUACUGUUAUUAUCAUCUUCAUACUACAGAGAAGGAAAGCAAAACCAAGAAGUUAGAUAACCUGCUCAAAGCUAGCACGAGAAAGAGCCCUGAUUUUGAUUCAGGCUCUCUUGACUAGCAUUCAUGUUCUUAAACACUCUGCUUACUGUGUGGUCACACAUGAGAGGUCAGGUCUACAGAGUCUGAGAGGCACUCACUGGAUUUAACAAGACAGUUAUGAGCAACCUUGGUAAGAAGAGUGUUAGUUGUGUGGUAUAGAAAGGCCUAUUAGAGGAGAAGAGUGAAUGGGAGGCAGGUUUUUUUGUUUGUUUGUUUUUUGUUUUUUUGUUUUAAGCAGUUUAAUUGUAAAGAGAAGAUGAGAAGAUAGCUUAAUGAGAAGGGAUAAAGGGAGAUUGUGUUAUGUAUGUGUUAAGAUGGAGGAGAGUUGACUUGAACAGCAAGAAACUCAGAGAGGAGUGGUUCAAGAUAGAGGGGAAGGAAGAAGUAACCAACAGGUGGAAAUUUUUGAGAAGGAGGUGGCAUAGGAUCCAGAGACCCCUCCCCAUGGGUUGUAUCAGAAGAAAGAAUGAAUAAGGAGGCAGGUCUCGUUAUAGAUUUUGGGACCAUAUUAGAGGGUGUUCCUGUCUGAUGGAGGACAGAAGUUCAUAUAUCAUUAGGCAGAUUGUAGGAUGGGAGAAGGGCAGUUGGGGGUCCAGUCAUGGCUAGAGAUUCAGAUCAGAAAGUCCAGAUACCCAUCAAAACAGUAUAGGUACAGCUGGCCAAUCAUUUCUCAGACCUCUUCUUAUCCACAGGCUCCUUGGGCCAUCAGCUUCUUGCUCAAGAAUUCCACAAGCCUAAACAUGGGGCCAUAGAUUUUUCCCAGUGGAGUCUUUCCUGCAGUCAUGAUUCACAGGAGUUGGAGGCCAGUGGAGGGUUCGGAGGUGGAAUUCUCUUUAUCACACCUGAACACACUUCACAAUGAGAGCACUUUCCUCCUGCAGUCAUUUUUUUAGAAGACUUACUGGAGGGCAAAUACUUGUCUUAAUAACUUUGAAGG